GACGAACGCUGGCGGCGUGCUUAACACAUGCAAGUCGAGCGGUAAGGCCCUUUCGGGGGUACACGAGCGGCGAACGGGUGAGUAACACGUGGGUGACCUGCCUCUAGCUCUGGGAUAAGCCCGGGAAACUGGGUCUAAUACUGGAUAUGACUCCAUGACGCAUGUUGUGGGGUGGAAAGCCUUGUGCGGCUAGAGAUGGGCCCGCGGCCUAUCAGCUUGUUGGUGGGGUGAUGGCCUACCAAGGCGACGACGGGUAGCCGGCCUGAGAGGGCGACCGGCCACACUGGGACUGAGACACGGCCCAGACUCCUACGGGAGGCAGCAGUGGGGAAUCUUGCGCAAUGGGCGAAAGCCUGACGCAGCGACGCCGCGUGAGGGAUGACGGCCUGGUUGUAA
rnacentral:rRNA from 1 species